CAAUGGGCGCAAGCCUGAUCUAGCCAUGCCGCGUGAGUGAUGAAGGCCUUAGGGUCGUAAAGCUCUUUCGCCUGUGAUGAUAAUGACAGUAGCAGGUAAAGAAACCCCGGCUAACUCCGUGCCAGCAGCCGCGGUAAUACGGAGGGGGUUAGCGUUGUUCGGAAUUACUGGGCGUAAAGCGCACGUAGGCGGAUUGGAAAGUUGGGGGUGAAAUCCCGGGGCUCAACCCCGGAACUGCCUCCAAAACUAUCAGUCUAGAGUUCGAGAGAGGUGAGUGGAAUUCCAAGUGUAGAGGUGAAAUUCGUAGAUAUUUGGAGGAACACCAGUGGCGAAGGCGGCUCACUGGCUCGAUACUGACGCUGAGGUGCGAAAGUGUGGGGAGCAAACAGGAUUAGAUACCCUGGUAGUCCACACCGUAAACGAUGAAUGCCAGUCGUCGGGCAGUAUACUGUUCGGUGACACACCUAACGGAUUAAGCAUUCCGCCUGGGGAGUACGGUCGCAAGAUUAAAAC
rnacentral:rRNA from 1 species